GUUGCGGUGGUAGUGUCUUCCUGUAAUCCGUGCUACUGGGGAGACUGAGGUUAGAGGUUCUCUUGAGCACAGCAGUUCUGAACUGCAGUGGUUAAGCCAAUUUGAGUGGCUGCACUGAAUUUGGCCUUAAUAUAGUUAACCUCCAGGAAUGAGGGUCCAAUAAGUUACCUAAGGAGGGAUGAACCAUCCUAGGUGGAAAAACAGAGUGGGUCAAAGCUCCCACGCUGAGUGGUACUAGGCCUAUGAGUAGCCCCUGCCUUUCCAGCCUGGGAGAGACUAGGAGAAUCCAGCUUCAA
rnacentral:SRP_RNA from 1 species